rnacentral:rRNA from 1 species
AAUCGAUAGGGAGGCAAGAGACAACCUGGCGAACUGAAACAUCUUAGUAGCCAGAGGAAAAGAAAGCAAAAGCGAUUCCCUGAGUAGUGGCGAGCGAAAUGGGAACAGCCUAAACCGCCUUCCGUUUCGGGAGGCGGGGUUGUGGGAGAGCGACAUAAGCUAAGAGUUACUAGACGAAGCAGCUGAGUCCUGCACCUUAGAUGGUGAGAGUCCAGUAGUUGAAAGUAUCUCUAGCAAACGCUAACACCCGAGUAGCAUGGGGCACGUGAAAUCCCGUGUGAAUCAGCGAGGACCACCUCGUAAGGCUAAAUACUCCUGGGUGACCGAUAGUGAAGUAGUACCGUGAGGGAAAGGUGAAAAGAACCCCCAUCGGGGAGUGAAAUAGAACAUGAAACCGUAAGCCUCCAAGCAGUGGGAGGAGAAUGGAAUCUCUGACCGCGUGCCUGUUGAAGAAUGAGCCGGCGACUUAUAGGCAGUGGCCUGGUUAAGGCGUUAAGCCGGAGCCGUAGCGAAAGCGAGUCUUUCUAGGGCGAAUGUCACUGCUUAUGGACCCGAACCCGGGUGAUCUAACCAUGGCCAGGGUGAAGCUUGGGUGAAGCCAAGUGGAGGUCCGAACCGACUGAUGUUGAAAAAUCAGCGGAUGAGCUGUGGUUAGGGGUGAAAUGCCACUCGAACUCGGAGCUAGCUGGUUCUCCCCGAAAUGCGUUGAGGCGCAGCGGUUGACUGGACUGCCUAGGGGUAAAGCACUGUUUCGGUGCGGGCUGCGAAAGCGGUACCAAAUCGAGGCAAACUCUGAAUACUAGGCAUGACAUCGGUCAGCCAGUAAGACGGUGGGGGAUAAGCUUCAUCGUCGAGAGGGAAACAGCCCAGACCACCAGCUAAGGCCCCUAAAUGACCGCUCAGUGGCAAAGGAGGUGAGAGUGCAAAGACAGCCAGGAGGUUUGCCUAGAAGCAGCCACCCUUGAAAGAGUGCGUAAUAGCUCACUGAUCGAGCGCUCUUGCGCCGAAGAUGAACGGGACUAAGCGGUCUGCCGAAGCUGUGGGAUGUCCGUUAGGGCAUCGGUAGGGGAGCGUUCCGCAAAAGGGAGAAGCAUCAGUGCAAACAGGUGUGGACGAAGCGGAAGUGAGAAUGUCGGCUUGAGUAACGCAAACAUUGGUGAGAAUCCAAUGCCCCGAAAACCCAAGGGUUCCUCCGCAAGGCUCGUCCACGGAGGGUGAGUCAGGGCCUAAGAUCAUGCCGAACGGCGCAGUCGAUGGACAACAGGUCAAGAUUCCUGUACUGCCCCUUGUCGGCAAUAAGAGGGACGGAGGAGGCUAAGCUAGCCGAACAAUGGUCAUCGGUUCAAGGGCCAGAAAGCCUGAGUACUAGGCACCUACGGGGCCGAAGUAGCUGAUGCCACGCUCCCAAGAAAAGCUCUUACGCCAAUACAGACACGAAGUGUGUCUGGAAAAGUUUUUGCUGAUGCCGAUGGUCCCGGAGGAAGUUUACUUCUGCGAAGCAGCGCUUCGGCCGGAGGCACUCAAUAUUUUUUUGGGGGCAUCAAAAAAUCUUUUUCAACAAACAAAUAAGACAAGUGGGCACCUGUACCCGAAACCGACACAGGUGGGUAGGUAGAGAAUACCUAGGGGCGCGAGACAACUCUCUCUAAGGAACUCGGCAAGAUGGCCCCGUAACUUCGGGAGAAGGGGUGCCCCCAAUAUUUUUUUGGGGGCCGCAGUGACCAGGCCCAGGCGACUGUUUACCAAAAACACAGGUCUCCGCAAAGUCGAAAGACGACGUAUGGNGGCUGACGCCUGCCCAGUGCCGGAAGGUUAAGGAAGUCGGUGACUCGAGUACGGGGAAGCUGGCGACCGAAGCCCCGGUGAACGGCGGCCGUAACUAUAAACCAGACCAAUUGUAGUUAUAAAAUUUAGCUAUGUGCUGGAAAACCUCGUGGAUGGUUCGCUACUCGUUGAUCCUGGCCGUAUAUCAAGACAGAAUGACUGUCUCUUUCAAGGACGCCACAACAGUGACAAUGUGAAUCGGAGAGACAAUCAGCAGGAAAGACUUUCAUGAACAAAAUAACACAUAUUCAUCAAGUACCACCAGAAAAAGGUCAUUAUAUUGCCGGCUUUGUUGAUGGCGAAGGCAGCUUCUAUAUCAGUGCUCGAAAACGCACCGAUUAUCCUUCGGGAUGGAGAUUUGAGCUUCAUUUCAACGUAAGUAAUCAAGACUUGGCGGUGCUAGAAAUUUGUAGGAAAUAUCUUGGGUGCGGCACCAUUCGACAAACACGACCAGCCAGUUGGCUGCAAAGCAGACUCAUUCGCCCACAGUGUCUAAAGACCUCGCCAAAGGGGCACGCCUCCGGCAAAAAAGUGUUGGGGAGCGCCGUUUCACGGCCUUUAUACUCUGGAAGUGGAAAGUAGAAAGAAACUCGGCGCUUUUGUCAUUCCUCUCUUCAAGAAAUUUGGUUUUCUAUCGRAUAAGAAAAAAGCAGAAUUUCGAHUCUUUCAACAAGCC